UACGGCCAGAUCGAUGAAAACACCAGUUCUAGUUCGAUCACCGGAGUUAAGCAUCGUAGAGCCAGGUCAGUACUUAUUUGAUGGGGUACGCUUGGGGAAACCUUGUACUGUAAG